rnacentral:rRNA from 1 species
AUUGAACGCUGGCGGCAGGCCUAACACAUGCAAGUCGAGCGGAUGAACGGGGCUUGCUCCUGGCUUCCGCGACGGACGGGUGAGUAAUGCCUAGGAAUCUGCCUGGUCGUGGGGGCUAACGUCCGUUAACGGGCGCUAAUCCCGCAUCCGUCCUUAUGUUGAAAGGCGGGGAUCUUCAGACCUAGCGCUAUCUGCUGAGCCUAGUACGGAUUAGCUAGUUGGUUGGUAAAGGCGUACCAAGGCGACGAUCCGUAACUGGUCUGAGAGGAUGAUCAGCCACACUGGAACUGAGACACGGUCCAGACUCCUACGGGAGGCAGCAGUGGGGAAUAUUGGACAAUGGGCGAAAGCCUGAUCCAGCCAUGCCGCGUGUGUGAAGAAGGUCUUCGGAUUGUAAAGCACUUUAAGUUGGGAGGAAGGGAAGUAAGUUAAUACCUUGCUGUUUUGACGGUACCAACAGAAUAAGCACCGGCUAACUUCGUG